rnacentral:tRNA from 2 species
GGGGAGGUGCCAGAGUGGCCAAAUGGGGCGGGCUGUAAACCCGUUGGCGUUGCCUACGAUGGUUCAAAUCCAUCCCUCCCCACUA